rnacentral:rRNA from 1 species
AAUAUUGGACAAUGGGCGAAAGCCUGAUCCAGCCAUGCCGCGUGUGUGAAGAAGUUCUUCGGAUUGUAAAGCACUUUAAGUUGGGAGGAAGGGUUGUAGGUUAAUACCCUGCAAUUUUGACGUUACCAACAGUAUAAGCACCGGCUAACUUCGUGCCAGCAGCCGCGUUAAUACGAAGGGUGCAAGCGUUAAUCGGAAUUCCUAGGCGUAAAGCAGGAGUAGGUGGUUAGUUAAGUUGGAAGUGAAAGCCCCAGGCUUAACCUGGGAAUUGCUUUCAAAACUGAAGAGCUAAAGGACGGUAGAGGGUAGUGGAAUUUCCUGUGGAGCGGUGAAAUGCGUAGAAAUAGGAAGGAACAUCAGUGGCGAAGGCGACUACCUGGACUGAUACUGACACUGAGGUGCGAAAGCGUGGGGAGCAAAAAGG